rnacentral:rRNA from 1 species
AUUGUCAUCUUUUAGCCUAAUGCACCAUGUCCCAUCUGAUCUUGGAAGUUAAGCAGGGUCAGCUCUGGUUAGUCCUUGGAUGGGAGAUUGCCAGAAAAUGCCUGGUGCUGUAAACC